UACAGAGGUCUCAAGCGUUGUUCGGAAUCACUGGGCGUAAAGCGUGCGUAGGCUGUUUCGUAAGUCGUGUGUGAAAGGCGCGGGCUCAACCCGCGGACGGCACAUGAUACUGCGAGACUAGAGUAAUGGAGGGGGAACCGGAAUUCUCGGUGUAGCAGUGAAAUGCGUAGAUAUCGAGAGGAACACUCGUGGCGAAGGCGGGUUCCUGGACAUUAACUGACGCUGAGGCACGAAGGCCAGGGGAGCGAAAGG
rnacentral:rRNA from 1 species